UGGGGAAUAUUGGACAAUGGGCGCAAGCCUGAUCCAGCCAUGCCGCGUGAGUGAUGAAGGCCCUAGGGUUGUAAAGCUCUUUCGCCAGGGACGAUAAUGACGGUACCUGGAUAAGAAGCCCCGGCUAACUUCGUGCCAGCAGCCGCGGUAAUACGAAGGGGGCUAGCGUUGUUCGGAAUCACUGGGCGUAAAGCGCACGUAGGCGGAUCUUUAAGUCAGGGGUGAAAUCCCGAGGCUCAACCUCGGAACUGCCUUUGAUACUGGAGGUCUCGAGUUCGGGAGAGGUGAGUGGGACUGCGAGUGUAGAGGUGAAAUUCGUAGAUAUUCGCAAGAACACCAGUGGCGAAGGCGGCUCACUGGCCCGAUACUGACGCUGAGGUGCGAAAGCGUGGGGAGCAAAACAGGAUUAGAUACCCUGGUAGUCCACGCCGUAAAACGAUGGAUGCUAGCCGUUGGGGAGCUUGCUCUUCAGUGGCGCAGCUAACGCUUUAAGCAUCCCGCCUGGGGNGUACGGUCGCAAGAUUAAAACUUAAAUGAAUUGACGGGGUCAUAGCUGUUUCCUG
rnacentral:rRNA from 1 species